ensembl:lncRNA MIR4422HG MIR4422 host gene
UAAAAGGUCAUGAAAGAGCCGACUGAAUCAGAUGGCACGUUAAAAGACUCAUCAACGGUGGCAGGUUUAUAGAACAUGACAGAGGAAGCUGUGCUUAGCUGAGAAGAGGAAGCAGAGAAGGAAGCAGAGAAAAACAAAGUCUGUGAUAAAAACUGGAAAGGAGCCACAAAAGGCCACAAAAAACAAGGAAGUCCAUUUUGGAACCGGAUCCUGGAGUGACUGAAAAGGCAGAGUGUCAUUUGAGGAUGCGAGUAGUAUAAUCAUACUUUUUUGCAUGGAAGAAAGCAAGUGUCUUGAGGCAUCCAUCAUCCUGGAAGAAGACUAUGAUUUAUAACAGAAGGAAUGCAAAAAGAAAGAACAAGUUAAUAUUUCUCUUUUGGCAUGUCAAAUAGAAUUAUUCAGCAAGACAAUAACCUUGCAAGCCAGGCGUUGUCUUGAAAAACCAUUUCCAAAUUUCUUUAAUCCUUCCCUUUGGCUUUUCAACAAUGCAGCCUGAUUGAACCAGUUUAUGGAGUUCUCCCUAAGUGCAGAGAAAAUACCCAUAUCCUUUAUUAGGGUAUCUCUAAGAAACUGAAGUAUGGAGGGCAUGAUGCAGGGGAAAUCUGUCAUUUUGGGGCCCUUUGUGAUAGAGAGAAAGAGAGAGAAAGAGGAAGAAGAAGAUGAGAGAAUCAGUUUUGAUCAUGUAUUCUCCCAGCUUUGGCCCAGAAAAUAGGGAGGCCUAUUGGAUGAGUGGGGAUAUCACCAAGGGCAGAGGAAGCUUUUGUCCUUCUUCCUGCUUGAGACUCUGCAGAAUAGACUGUCAUCCUGGGGUGUGACCACAUCCACAUGGCAGUGUGGUAUGACCUGGCAGAGGGAGUCCUUGACACUUAGUUUUCCUGAGCCAUUCUUAUUUCCAGUGAGGCACAGAUGGACCCAGAAAAUGGUGGGAGUUUGGCUGGGGAGUAUUACCAAUGGGAGUCACCAUGGCUGGGCAAGGUCAAGGUACUCCGUAGCAAGGGCUGCCCAGUGGACCACCUGGGCCAGGCCAAUUGGAGUCACAGCAAAUGGGAAGGAGUCUAGACCCAAUAGAUGAGUCCAAAAAGCUGCAGAGAGCGAGAGCUAGCAAGGCAGUCCCCUGGGCUCUGAUCUGCUGAGGAAAACCUAGGCUGUAAGUUACUCUUGUACAGACACAGACUUCAGCUGUGAAUCCCAGUAGGGUAAGAUGCACGCAGGUGGAUCAGGGACUUCCACCUAACCCUGCCUAGAAGAGUAAGAGGAAUCUGACCUUUUGCCUGCCGCGAAGGUGUUCAAGCUCCACCUGUCCCUCUUCAUAUGCAGAUGUCAUCUUGGAGGGGAGCUAGAAGACUGAUGUGUUUGAGAAACUAAGCCUUUAUUUCCCCUCAGAGGGGACCAUUCUUUGAAGGGACCAUUUAAAUUAUCGUGUAAUACGAAGGUUCAAACUUUAUUAGAUAUUAAAACAAUCAGUUUGUCCUUUUGAAUGGCUUUUGGCUAUUUCCAAAAUUCAAAUCCGUUAGAAGACAAAGAUUAGACAUACUGAAAUGCUUCUAAAAAUAUUCUAACUGGUGAAUAUAUGAGAAAAGAAUUAACCUCAUUAAUUAUCCACUCGAAUGUAAACUAAAACACUAUUCUAUACUUCCUUCUUUGAAAUUCAUAAACGUUGGAAAAAAAUACAGAAAAUCUACUAGUUAGUAGGAAAAAAGUUGUAGACAGAACAAAGGGGCCACAUGCUCUUGGUCAAUCUGAGUUUUGAUGGAAGUUAAAUGUUGCUGCCCUGGCAUAACACUAACAUUUAUUAAGCACUUUGUCUGUGCCUGGUGCUGUUUUAAGAAAUUUAGGUGCAUUAUUUCACUAAACCUUGUCAAUAGCCUUAUGAAAUAUAUGCUAUCAUGGCCUCUUUUUAUCAAUGGGGAAACUGAGCCACAGAAAAAAUAAAUACCUUGUACAAUUAGAAAAUGGCAAUUUGCUGGGUGCGAGGGCUCACGCCUGUAAUCCUAGCACUUUG